AAUGGAGUUGCUGGGCUAUAUGAUAACUCUACUUUUAACUUUUUGAGGAACUGCCAAACUGUUUUCCAAAGUCGCUGUACCAUGUUACUUUCCCUCCAGCAAU
rnacentral:pre_miRNA from 1 species